rnacentral:rRNA from 1 species
GAUGAACGCUGGCGGCGUGCCUAAUACAUGCAAGUCGAGCGAACAGACGAGGAGCUUGUUCCUCUUGCGUUAGCGGCGGACGGGUGAGUAACACGUGGAUAACCUACCUAUAAGACUGGGAUAACUUCGGGAAACGAGAGCUAAUACCGCAUAAUAUAUUUAACCACAUGUUUCAAUAGUGAAAGACGCUGUUGCUUUCCCUUAUGGAUAGCUCCGGGUGUCUUAGGCUAGUGGGUAAGGUAAGGGCUUACCAAGCGAACAAUGCGUAGCGGACCUGAGAGGGUGAUCGCCCAAACGGGACCGGAGACACGGUCCAGACCCCUACGGGAGGAAGCAGUAGGGAACUUUGCGAAAUGGGCGAAAGCCUGACGGGGCAAGCCCGCGUGGUGGAUGAAGGUCUUGGGAUCGUAAACCUCUGUGAUUAGGGAAGAAGAAAUGUGUAAGUAACUAUGCACGUAUUGACGGUACCUAAUCAGAAAGCCACGGCUAACUACGUG